UGCUACUCUUGGGGUUCAAUCAUUUCUUAGAACCCUUAUUUCCCAAUUUCCUUUUAGAAGUGCUAUUUAUAAGAAGGAGUGGACCUUUAUCCUUCUUAAUAUGGCCUUCAGCUGUUUUGAGCAUAUUUAACAGCUCGGACAGGGAGGUGUUCAGCUUGUUCAUGUAAAAGUUCACAACAAACUGAGAGAAUAAAUCAGGCAGUGAUUGCAGGAUCAAAUCCUGACUGAGCUCACUAUCCAUAGCAAAACCUAAUUGACUUAAUCUAGUGAUUAAGUCUAUAACCAUAAGAACAUGGUUUUGCACUGGAGUUCCUUCAUUCAUUC
rnacentral:lncRNA from 1 species